GGGGGUGUAGCUCAGGGGUAGAGCGCUCGCUUUGCAUACUGUACUAAGGCGCAGAGCAAAAAUUGCGAGAGGCCUAGGGUUCAAAUCCCUACUCCUCCA